rnacentral:lncRNA from 1 species
GGUACUGCAGAUGAGCACGUGCACUGACCAAAUCCAGAUAUCAGUCACGUGCAAAAACUUCGAAGCUUUAUGUCAUAAAAUAAAACAAGCUAAAAAUUGCAUGGAACUUCUAUGCCGAGGAAGAUCUCCAUUAAACUGGGACAUGCAUCAUAUUCCAUCCUUCUCUUUCUAGAAUAUACAAAUUACCAACAUGAAGCUGUGUCUCAAACCAGCCUGACCAACUUGUCCAGUGCUUUGUUUCUUAAAUAAUUUCUGAGAACUUCUCUUCAGCACAAAAAGCUAUAAUGUCCAGCAAUUUACUUAAGCAUGACCUCUUUAUAACUUCAUGAACUUAUGAACCUCGUGCAUUUUUUGUUGGCAACCAUGUUAUUUCUAAAUAUGAAAUUUCAAUAGUAAACCUCCCACUCCCUUUCAGUAGGUAAAAGAGAAGUGCAAAUGCAAUGGUUCGCCCUUGCUGCAAAGAAAAGUGCAAUGUCCAAAAACUUGAAUAUCAGAUAAACUCAUGUAUACAAAUCUAAGCUGAAUGAACAACAUGCUUCACAAUUUACUUGAUCAACAAGAGCCCAUGAUAGAUAAAGCCUUAUAAUUCAUUUUCAACAGAGAGAGAGAGAUUAUUACCAAAUGUCGCAAGUGAUCUUUGACCAAGUCAUUUUCUGUCAGAUUAAUAGCCAAGCUGAUUUCAUCCUUUCCACCAUUGCUUCAAGUUCCAGUUUUGUG